AGCGAGCGUGCACAGGUGCUGCAUGGCUGUCGUCAGCUCGUGUCGUGAGAUGUUGGGUUAAGUCCCGCAACGAGCGCAACCCUACGCUGAGUUACCAGCACGUGAAGGUGGGGACUCUCAGUGGACUGCCGGCGACAAGCCGGAGGAAGGUGGGGACGACGUCAAGUCAUCAUGGCCCUCAUGUCCAGGGCGACACACGUGCUACAAUGGCCGGCACAACGGGAAGCGAAGUCGCGAGGCAGAGCGGAUCCCUUAAAGCCGGUCCCAGUUCGGAUUGCAGUCUGCAACUCGACUGCAUGAAGCCGGAAUCGCUAGUAAUCGCGGAUCAGCCAAGCCGCGGUGAAUACGUUCCCGGGCCUU
rnacentral:rRNA from 1 species